UACAAUAAAGUAGAAUUAUUUUUGUUCGGUGUAAAGGAUAGUAUAAGUAUUUGACUUUUCGUCUUGAUGAUCACUUUGGGCAAGGAUAGUAAAACAUUGUGUGUUUAUCGCACUAGGAGGCAACAAUUAUGGAACAAGGUACAGUUAAGUGGUUUAAUGCAGAAAAAGGUUUUGGCUUUAUCGAACGUGAAGGUGGAGACGACGUAUUCGUACAUUUCUCUGCUAUCCAAAGUGAAGGUUUCAAAUCAUUAGACGAAGGUCAAAAAGUUACUUUUGACGUUGAGCAAGGUGCUCGUGGAGCUCAAGCUGCAAACGUUCAAAAAGCAUAAUAACUUGUAGCCAAAAAAACAGGUCCUUUUAAGGGGCCUGUUUUUUU
rnacentral:other from 1 species